rnacentral:rRNA from 1 species
CAUCUUGGCCGUGUCCUCCUGAAUGUGCCCAAUCUUGCCUGAUUUUGGAAGCUAAAUAGGGUCUGGAUUGGUUAGGUCUCAGAUGGGGAACGGCCAGGGUAUCUCCUGGUCGAGCUAC